AGAGUUUGAUCCUGGCUCAGGAUGAACGCUGGCGGCGUGCUUAACACAUGCAAGUCGAGCGAAGCAUAUAAGCGGAAGUUUUCGGAUGGAAGCAGAUAUGACUGAGCGGCGGACGGGUGAGUAACGCGUGGGUAACCUGCCUCAUACAGGGGGAUAACAGUUAGAAAUGACUGCUAAUACCGCAUAAGCGCACAGGACCGCAUGGUCAAGUGUGAAAAACUCCGGUGGUAUGAGAUGGACCCGCGUCUGAUUAGCUGGUUGGUGAGGUAACGGCCCACCAAGGCGACGAUCAGUAGCCGACCUGAGAGGGUGGCCGGCCACAUUGGGACUGAGACACGGCCCAAACUCCUACGGGAGGCAGCAGUGGGGAAUAUUGCACAAUGGGGGAAACCCUGAUGCAGCAACGCCGCGUGAGUGAAGAAGUAUUUCGGUAUGUAAAGCUCUAUCAGCAGGGAAGAAGAAAGACGGUACCUGACUAAGAAGCCCCGGCUAACUACGUGCCAGCAGCCGCGGU
rnacentral:rRNA from 1 species